rnacentral:lncRNA from 1 species
GUGGGAGGGGGGCUCUGACCCAGGCCCCUCCUUACUCCCUCUCUGCCCUGUGUCCCUCCAGAGUUACUUCCAGAGUCUUCAAGAGUGCCAACUGGGACCAGGACCCCAGACCACAGCCCCCCACACCGUCCUGGACCUGGAUUCUGACUGUGGUUCCACUGUACCCCUCACCUUAAUCUCUGGUUCUAACCAGACCUGAGCCUAGACUUCCACUUUUUCCCUUACCCCUGUGAGGGCCUGGGAACACUAGGUGGGCAGGGUUUGAGCCCACAGGACCUGCACACAAACUUCCCCACCUCUUGGACUUGGGGACAGGAUCUGUGCCUCAACCCAGACCAGCUUUGUAGGGAUAUGUUCCAAGAACAGAGAAGAGUCUUAUGGGGAAGGGGGAGGAAGGGAAGUAUGAAUAUUUACCUCUGACCAAUAAUAGAGGUGCCCUGGUCCCCAAAGAAAUUGACUCCCGAAUUCCCUCCAAGCCUUACCCAUAUAGCUUUUGUUUGUUUGUUUGUUUUCAGACAAGGUCUUGUUCUGUCCAGUGCCGUGGCGUGACCACAGCUCAUGACAACUUUGAUUUCCCCGGCCCAAGCGAGCCUCUCAUUCAGCCUCCUGAGUGGCUGGGACCACAGACGCCACACACAGCUAAUUUUUAUGUAUUCGUUUUUAUUUUUUUGCAGAGACAGGGUCUCCCUAUGUUGCCCAAGCUGGUCUUGAACUCCUGGGCUCAAGUGAUCCUCCUGCUUCAGCCUCCCAAAGUGCUAGGAUUAUAGCCACCGCACCUCGUCUUGAAAUAGCCUUUUAAAUGUUCACCUCAGCUUGCCUCACAGUGGUAAAAAUAAGCAUUUUUUUGUUUUGUAGGAUCAGGGAGCUUCCAAGGCAUUUGAUACCUUUUUGAUGGGAAGAAGGGCUCUGAGGAGCUCCAAGAUACCCCAACCUCCAGGCCCUUCAUUAGGGGGUAGUUGGGUUUCUGUUUGGCCUUUCCCCCUGGGCCCCAUAGGCUUAAACUACCCCCACCCCCACCUCCGCCUCCUACCUCAGCUGGGAGCACUGUCUUCCAUGGGGCUUCCACUUCUCUCCUCAACCUGGGGAAGACCACAGGGCAGUGCCUGCCUCAGGACCUGCCUUCCCCAAAAGCUGGCUUCUUGCUCCAAGGAGAGAGCAUUGACCCACCUGCCAGAGUCUUGCCUUUUGCCCAAAGGAGCCUGGUCUUCAGGGCUGCAUAGGAUGCAAGUGCCUUCUCUGCUUCUCACCGGUCUGUUCCUGGUUUCCCAGAUGCAUAAAGGAAGACAUAUCCCUCCCCUGGGCAGCAAGGCUACAAUGGGAGGGAGGGAGAACAUGGGAGCAUGUGAAUAAAAUGGCAUUAAAUACUGAACCAGGG